rnacentral:rRNA from 1 species
AGUAUUAGUUAUGUUCUUUAAAUUUAAAAAAUUUGGCGGUAUUUUAGUCUUUUCAGAGGAAUCUGUUCUAUUAUUGAUAUUCCACGAUUAAUUGUACUUAUUUUAUGGUUUGUAUAUCAUCGUAGUUUGAGUGUUUUAGUAGAAUUUUUAAUAUUCAAGAUUUAUAAUAAUAAAAAAAAUCAGAUCAAGGUGCAGCUUAUAAAUAAGAAGAAAUGGGUUACAAUAAAUUUAUUUAUAUGGUUAGGGUAUUUAACAUUAUUCUAUAAAGAGGAUUUGAAUGUAAUAUAGUUUAGUUAAAUUAUAUGAUUAUAGCUCUAAGAUAUGUACAUAUCGCCCGUCGCUCCCACUUUAAGGUGGGAUAAGUCGUAACAAAGUAGGGGUACUGGAAAGUGUUCCUAGAUUGACAAAUUAGAGCUUGUUAUAAAGUAUUUUAUUUACAUUAAAAAGUUAGUUGUGUGAAUCAGCUUAGUUUGAUAAUUUUUAAAUUAUUAAUUUUUAGUAAAGAAAAUAUUUUUUUUAUUUAGUAGGAGGUUUGAAUAAUAAGUGUUAAUGAUAGUUAAUUAGUAUAGUGUUAGAUUAUUGAAAUAUAUUAAAUAAUAAUUGUUUAAAAAAAGGGUUAGUAUUUUGUACCUUGUGUAUCAGGGUUUAUUAAAAAUAUCUUAUUUAUUUAAUAUUCUCGAAUUCUAUAAGAGCUAAUAAUUUAUAUAUUUAAUUGUGACAUAAAUUUUUAUAAUAAGUUAUUAGAAAUGAAACGUUAGUCGUUUUGGAAGAUAUCUAGUUUUUUAAGAAAUAAAUUUAAUUUAAUUGUUAAUAUAGGUAGUUUUAAUUUAUUAAGACUAUAUUAUUAAUAGUAAAUGAUUUAAGGGAUAAGCUUUAAAUCAUAGCAUUAAAAAUAAUUUUUAUAUUAAAAGUAAUAGGGUUAGAAAUUUUUAUUUUUUAGUUUGUUAUAAUUAAUUUUUAUUUUAAUAUAAUUUAUAUAGAUUUUAAUUGUUUUAUUAAAAUUAUUUAUUUAAUAUUAUCAUAUAUGUAAUAAUGAUAAAAUUAGUAUAAUAUUAUAUGUGUGUGUAAUCUAAAAAUUAAGGUUAAAUUAAGGAACUCGGCAAAUAAGAUUUUCGCCUGUUUAUUAAAAACAUGGCUUUUUGAUUAUAAUUUAAGGUUUGACCUGCCCACUGAGGAUUUAAAUGGCCGCGGUAUUUUGACCGUGCAAAGGUAGCAUAAUAAUUAGUUUUUUAAUUGAAAGCUGGAAUGAAUGGUUGGACGAGAAAUCUACUGUCUUAAUUUAAUUUAUAUUAGAAUUUUAUUUUUAAGUUAAAAAGCUUAAGUAAUUUUAAAAGACGAGAAGACCCUGUAGAGUUUAAUAUUAGUUAGUAUUAUAUUUAUUUAGAGGAUUUUAAUAAUAAUAAUAAUAAAUAUU